rnacentral:rRNA from 1 species
GACGAACGCUGGCGGCGUGCCUAAUACAUGCAAGUAGAACGCACAGUUUAUACCGUAGCUUGCUACACCAUAGACUGUGAGUUGCGAACGGGUGAGUAACGCGUAGGUAACCUGCCUGGUAGCGGGUGAUAACUAUUGGAAACGAUAGCUAAUACCGCAUAAUAUUGAUUAUUGCAUGAUAAUUGAUUGAAAGAUGCUAUUGCAUCACUACCAGAUGGACCUGCGUUGUAUUAGCUAGUAGGUGAGGUAACGGCUCACCUAGGCGACGAUACAUAGCCGACCUGAGAGGGUGAUCGGCCACACUGGGACUGAGACACGGCCCAGACUCCUACGGGAGGCAGCAGUAGGGAAUCUUCGGCAAGGGACGAAAGUCUGACCGAGCAACGCCGCGUGAGUGAAGAAGGUUUUCGGAUCGUAAAGCUCUGUUGUAAGAGAAGAACGGGUGUGAGAGUGGAAAGUUCACACUGUGACGGUAUCUUACCAGAAAGGGACGGCUAACUACGUG